GUCGGUGACCAGACCAGGAGACAUGGUCGGUGACCAGACCAGCAGCCAGGAGACAUGGUCGGAGACCAGACCAGCAGCCAGGAGACAUGGUCGGAGACCAGGGGUGAUGGUCCCCAGAACGACCAACUGGUAGACUACAAGAGGGUGGUAUGAAUGUGUAUGAUGGUGGAUUAAAGGAUCUCUUGUGUCGGCGAUGAGUCACAAUAACGGGGCUAAAUUAUGUUGACCAGACCAUUCUCAAGUCGAUUGUGACAAUCGACUUGAGAAUGGUCCAGGACGGACCGAAACGUCGUCGUCCCUUCACCUUCUAGUGUGUGGUCUGGUCAACAAAUUUCUUGUGUCCAUUGUAAGAAUGAGUUUUUAUGCUGUAGUAUUAAUGAGCUUUGGUACGCAAGUGGUAUGGAUGGGUUUUGUUAUAUUAAUGAUAUAAAUAAUGUGUUUAUACUGGAUAUAUGAACAGAUGUGGUAUGCUGAUGGCAUGAAUAUGUUGUAAUAUGCUGGAGGUAUGAGUGAGUUUUAGUAUGCUGGAGAUACCUUCCUUGAGGUUGUUUCGGGGCUUAGCGUCCCCGCGGCCCGGUCUCUUCAUUGCUGGACUGGUCAACCAGGCUAUUGGACGCCGCUGCUCGCAGCCUGACAUAUGACUCACAGCCUCGUUGAUCAGGUAUCCUCUGGAUACCUGAUCAUCCAGGUAUCUCGAGUGUUCAUGAGUGUUCUGUCAUGAACACUGUGAGAGGUUGGCCAGUUAUGCCCCUUAUGUGUACUGAAAUAGUAUAAAUAUAGUGGAAGGGAUAGAUAAGCAGCCUUCCAGUCUGUAGUGGAAGGUAUAGAUAAGCAUUUGUUUGCUGAUUUUAUGAAUAAGUUUUGGUAUGAACUUGAUAUAUUAGCAUUUUCUACACUUUAUUAUCAAUAUAACUUUAUUUACUAUUGUUUAUUGGAUCGCUAUUAUUAGUCUUGGUUCUUUAUUUGUUAAGGGAUCUUAGUUAUUGUAACAUUUUAUUAAGGAUUUUAGGCAUUGAGAAUUUUUGUCUGACUUUUAGGCUGCCUUAACCUUAUUAUCCUCAAGAUUAAGCAGGAGCAUAUAUACAUCUUUGAUAUUUUAAGUUGCUUAAUGUACAACUAAAUACAGUAAGUUGCCUAUUGCAAUUUACCAUAAUGCAUUAAGCAGCUUACUGUAUAUAUGUUUUUUAGUAUUAUCAGUAUUCUUUUGUAAAUUUGCUCUAAUACAGUAGCUAGCUUUUGGGCACUUACUUUAUUACAGUAAUUAACGUACUGUACAAGAUAUUUCAUACAGUAUGCAGCUUACUGUUCAAGUAGUUUAAUACAGCAAGUGUCCUUCUGCACACUUAAAUGUAUAAUUACUUUAGUAAAGAAACUGCAAUAUGUACACCUCCUUUGAUACAGUAAGUAGUACUGUACUAUGCUUUUUAUAGUUCAGUACUGCAAGUAUUAAAGUAAAUACAUGCAUUAUCUGAAAUAAAGCAACAUAUAAGUUUAAACAA